rnacentral:lncRNA from 1 species
UUUAGGCCAUGCCUGGCAUCAGUAACUCAGGCUGUUUCCCACACUACAGGCCAGCACUGUGGGCUCUCAGUUUAUUGGGAAAUGGAAAUAAGAGGGAAGGACAAAAGUCCACUGGGAAGCAGACUGGACAGAAAGGAACUCUGAGCAGCUAAACUCUGACUAAUCCCAGGGUAUACCUGCGUUUUCUCUUCACCAGAUUUUUCCUACCAGGAAGAGCAUGUGCUGACCAACAGACAUGAAUUUCAGCCUGGUAGUUACAACAUUCACAGACAAACUGCGGCCUGGACCAGCUGGUGAAACAUAAUUCUGAAUCCUGCCCACAGCCUUCGGUGGUUUUGGAUGAAAGGCCAGCGCCUUGGGAGCCCUGCGUUUGAUUUCAAGUUUUAAGGCCGGCACUGGUGGAGCAAUGAAUGGUGAAAGCUCUCCCCUUAAAGGAGCACAGUUGCCUUUAGGUGACUGCUAACUCAGGCUUUUGCUGAGGACAGUGUUUACUUUGUGAGCUUAAUGACAGGGCUGGCUUUCUGGGAGUGUUGCAAUGAAACAGACUCAGACACAGGCCAUCAUGGGCCUCCUCCCUAGCAAGGCCGCCACGGCUGGCAUCUCAAGAGCAGUCCGUUGAACUUGGGAUUUGGGUGUGAGACACAGUUUCAUCAGAAGAAUUUAAACCAAAGUCUACAUUUGCCCUCUAGAUAAAUGUGUGUGUUCAGCAGCAACCACA